rnacentral:siRNA from 1 species
UUCCACACGAGAUUUCUGUUC